GUUCUUUGUUGUGUCUUGUUUCUGCAGCCAUCUGUGGAGGCCAGUGAUCACAGAUAAACAACACUGUGAAGUCAGUUCCAGCACCAGCCCCACAAGACUCAGGAGAAAGGCAGAUGAAUACCUGAAACUCAACCCGGCCUCUAAAUCCCUGCUGAGCGUUUUACUAGGUAGACAACUGGGGAGUUACAGAAGUGAUAUGCACCUGGCACGGUGGCUGUGGAAACUGACCCAAGCCACACCAGGGUGGAGUUGGCCACUGCCCAAAUACCACGUGACUCCUGCACUCAAGUUCCCUGAGGUUGAUGAGAAGCCCAGGAAAAUGCUGUGGCUGAACAAAUCCUUCCCCUGACGCAACCAUUAAAAC
rnacentral:lncRNA from 1 species